GAGCCCUUCCCGUCGCCAGGGACCUCUCCGGAUCGGGCGCCUACCCUCACGGUCUCCAGCCAUGGAGGCCAGGGAACCUGGGCAGGUCAUCUUUGUAUCCCCCAGUGGCUGGACAGACAGGAGCUGCUCGUUACGUGUUAUAGGAUUCAUGCAGUUUUGGAGAAAGGAAGUCUCUCCAUAGGAAUUCAGUGUUAGAGCAUGCGAUCCCAGAUAAGGAGGAGACCCAGAGAGUUACAUGAGGUGCCCAAGGAUGCAGAACUAGUUAUCUCAUUGUGGAGGCAAAGAUGGCCAACAGCUUAGCAGUUCAAGCUGGAAGAAAACCUUCUUUCUCUGUUCCAGUUAUACUUCCCUGGAUUGUACUCAUUGGCUUAGCAAGGGUCAUGUAGCUGUCAUGGAAAUAAUCCCUGUGGUCAGGGAGAUGCAGUACUCUGACUGGUCAAGCCUAUGUCACGUGCCCACCCUAAUUCCCAGGGGUGGGAUCAGCUUUACCCAAGCCAUAUAGACUAACAGUGGUAAUAGGAUGAAUAUUAUGAAUGGGUUUUCUAUUUCAAUAGAAUAAGCUCUAAUAGGAACAAUGAACAUUUCUUUAGUGCUACAUGAAGUUUCUUAUUAGAUCCUAGGAUC